CAAAACAACCCCCUUGCUUCCCACUUUUUAGCUGGUUGUGGGGUUCUACACCUUCAACCUCACCUUUACUUUUCCAUUCUUUAAUCCCAACGACGAAAUACUAAUUAAAUUGUACUUGUAUUAAUACACGGAAUAUUUUAUAUUUUUUUAAAUGUUUGUUUACUCAAACAAAAGAAAGAGCUUACCCUCUCAACCGAAAAAUAAUAAUAAUAACAUUAUUAAUUUUUAUUCUCAUCAUCUACUUCUACUUCAACGUUAUUAACUUAUUAUUAUUAUCAUCAUCAUUUAUUAAAUUAUUAUAGUUUCAUAUCCACCAUUACCUGCUUUGAAUCUUCAAUUCUUCCCCACGAUCUCCAUUCUUUCUCUCUCUACAUUGCUAAACUUCAGCAACAUUUUCUGUUGCAGUUUCUCUCUCCUUAACUUCAACACAUUUUCCUGUCAUUUAUUGGUUUGAUAAAGUAGCAAUUGGAAAUCAUAAUCAUCUGGAACAAUCUGAGCAUAAUUGAAGAUUAUAUGCUUGAGACAUCAAGGAUACGUUUCGAUUAUUCGAGUUUUUAAUGGGUUGAUGGAUUGUUAAGAUUUUGAGGAUUUUAUUGGAUUUUAAUAAACUGGAGGCUGCAUGGGAGGAUUAUUGCACCUUUUUUAUUUUCAUCAAGGGUCCAUGGGAAGGAGGCAUAAGAAACAAGGGAGUGCCAAUGUGGCAGCUCCUCGUAACAGUUUAGAGAUGGUAGCUGAAACUUUGCGGAAUCAUUAUGCUGUCGAAAGCUAUGAACAGCAGGAUUUUCCCAAGAGGAGCUAUUAUCCAACUGAUGCCUCAAUGAAGAAGUUGAUUAGCAAGGACUUAUCAAAGCAACAAAAUAAUAAACAGAAUUCACCAAGUAUUGUUGCAAGGCUGAUGGGGAUGGAUCUAUUGCCAGUGGAUUCCGAGCCUGAAGUUCAACCUCUUCAGGAUGAAGAAGACAAGGUCGAAUUCAUUGACAAAAAAGUCCAGCUCGUAGAAAAGGUAUCAUCUGUUCGUGCCCCUAAAAAGUCAAAGUCGUCUAGCAAAAAGGAAUACUGUUCAUAUAAAGACACAUACUUUAGAUACUGGAGCAGUGGCAAAAAUCUUGGAAAGCCACGCCCUCGAGUACAUCCUCAAGAGAAAGAGCUUCAGAAAUUUAAGAAAGACUUUGAAGCCUGGCAGGCAUCUAGGUUCCUUGAAUGUGCAAGAGUGGUUCAACUCGGCAACAUUCCUGAACAGUGGCUUGCACAGUUGGAUCUUACAAAGGAAAAAAUGUCUAUCUAUGAAACUUCCAGAAAAGAUGCUAUGGAUAAAUCUGGGGAGCACAAGAGGGACGCGUUUAGAUCAAGGUCUCUACAUGGAGAUGAUUUUGAGCGUCUUGGAUACAAGAAGGAUGCAUUCCUACCUAAGCACAAGGAAUCAUAUUCUUUCAGUGCAGUACGCCCAGGUAGAGACCUUGAGCAGCACUCUUUAAGGGAUUCUGAUAUAGGCUCUGAGAGAUGUAGGUCUCUACAUAGAGAUGAUUUUGAGCGUCUUGGAUACAAGAAGGAUGCAUUCUUAUCUAAGCACAAGGAAUCAUAUUCUUUCAGUAGAGUGCGCUCAGGUAGAGACCUUGAGCAGCUUUCUUUAAGGGAUUCUGAUAUAGACUCAGAGAAAUCUUCUGCUCCCUCAAAGAUUGUAGUUUUAAAGCCUGGUCCUGAUAGCUUUAGUGCCAAUGAUGAGUCUUGGGUUACUUCUUCUAGCUCAAUGGAUGAUAGAGACUGUAUAGAAGAUCUUCUUGAGGAAGUGAGGGAAAGGCUGAGAUAUGAAAUGCAGGGUAAUGCCUUGAAUAAGGGUUCCAUGGUUAGAGGAGGUGGGAUUGAGACUCCGUUUAAGGAAAAACCAGCAUAUGAAAGACAAACCUAUCAACCGGUUGCUAAAUGUGUGAAGGAGAAUACCAAUGGAGACCUGGAUAGGAAGUUGUUUCGAUCAGAAUCAGCAAGGUUCUAUAAAAAUGAAAGUUUGAUGAGUGAGCUGGCUCCAUCAUCGCCAGAGUACAUGAGCAAAGAUACAAAAAAAUUCUUGUCAGAGAGACUGAGGAAUAUCUUAGAUAGGGAAAAACACCCAAAUCAUCAUCUCACUUCUGGAGGUUCUCCCAGGGAACCCUUGUUUGACGAUGCUAGGGUACGAUUAGAGAAAGCUAGGGAUAUCUUGAAUGCUGAACAUGGAAAGCACUCUUGGUGUGAUGGGAACUACGAUGCAGAUACACGAGCUAGGUCCUUCCGGUAUGAGCUAAAAGAUGAUGGGAAUACUCAAGAACAGCCAUCUCCCAGGAAUCUUAUUCGAUCUUUGUCAGCUCCGGUAUCAGGAAUGUCAUUUGGGAAGCUUCUUCUAGAGGACAGAUAUGUUUCACCAGGAGCGCAUAUUAAAAGGAAGCACGAGGCUUUUGAUAAAUUUUCAUUUGAUAUCAAAGACCAAAGGAAAGAAAGGUUUAAUUUGCGAGAAAAGGUUUCCAGUCUCAAACAUAGCCUCUCUCUUAGAAGGAUGUUAUUUAGCAAAAAGCUUGAGUCGAUGGAUUUGUCUGAGAGCAAUGAAUUUAAUUCAACAAAAGAUAUAAUGAAUGGACCCUCAGUUAUAUCUAGUUUCAAUGACAGAAAUGACAACUCAACUGAGCUUCCGCCUAGUCCUGCAUCCAUAUGCAGUAGCUAUCAGGAAGAAUUUUGGAAGCCAAUAGACCAUACCAGUCCAGCAUCAAUCUCAGACGUGACCUCUGUAGAAGAUCACGGUGUGGGCAAUGUUUUUAAAGACAUCAGCUCCAAUCUUACAGAGUUACGAAAGCAGUUGAAUCAACUUGAUUAUGAAGGAUCAGAAAUCAGUCAAAUCACCACUGUUACCGGGGAUCCUUCAGAAUCAGAGAUGAUUGAAUUGGAAAGUGAAGCAGAAGUCUAUAUCAAGAACCUACUUGUUGCUUCAGGUUUGUAUGAUGGAUCGUGGGUUAAAUCUUUUUCAAGAUGGGAUCCAUAUGUGAAGCCCAUGGGAAAUUGGGUCUUUGAAAAAGUGGAAGAAUCAUACCAAAAACCAACCAACGAAUAUGAAGCUGCUAGCUACAAUGACAGUAGUUUGGAGCAUAAAUUAUUUUUUGAUUUAUUGAAUGAGGCACUCACAAUUGUACUUGGGCCCCCUAGGAUAUUGUCUAAGUUCAAGAGGAAGAUAACUGAAGUUGUCAUGUUGCCCCACCCUCUGGGCAGAAAACUAUUGGAGCAGGUUUGGGAGAUGGUAUGUGAGUUUUUAUACCCCUCGAGCUACACAUCCUGUUAUUCAUUCGACGAUUUGGUUGCUCAUGAUCUGAAUGUUAUGCCUUGGUCUAGUCAUUUGGAUGAAGAGAUGUGUGAUAUGGGUAAAGAACUGGAAUAUCAAAUUAUAGGUGACCUUGUGGAAGAACUUCUGAUGGAUAUGCAGUUUUAAAUUUUGAUUGUGACGAUUGUGUACAGAUACCACAGUUUUUACUCGUGAGAUAGCGUUGUGUAUAAGGGUGAAGUAUGGACUCACCAAUGCUGUGAUCAGUGUUCGUAAAUUUACGUAUAUGUCAUACGAUGAUUGUAGGUGUUCGUGAAUAGGAAAUGCUGAUAAUCUGAGUGAGAUUCUGAAUAAAUUGUCCUGUACAUUGCUUUAUCUCUCUGAAGGAUGUGCAAGAACUUUUUCCAGGAAACUGUAAUAUUUGCUGUGAGCAUUUGCACUUUUCAUACAGUUCACAUUUCAGCAACCUGUUCUCACUUUUUUUUCACUGGAGCAAAACAAAGUACUCACAUUACAUCAAUAUUAAAAUCUGCUAUUCUGCCAAAGCUCUAACCCAAUUCUAGACUACUUGACUUAAUGAUUUGUCUAAAAUGACCUAACCCAGUAACCCUACCAGAACGGCCGAACCCAACUAAGAAAAACCCGAUUGA